rnacentral:rRNA from 1 species
UACGGGGGGGGGUUAGUGUUAUUCAUCGUUACUGGGUGUAAAGCGCGCGUAGGCGGUUUAAAAAAGUUUUAAUUUAGAACAAUCCAGACUUAAUUUGGAAACUAGUUUUUCAUACUAUUAAACUAGAGGUUAAAGGAAGAAAGCUAUACUUCUCAGAAAAAAGGUGAAAUUUGUCCGAACUGGGGAGGAUAAUCAGCAAGCGAAAGGCGGCUUUCUAUUAUAAUGCUGACGCUUUGGCGCAAA